rnacentral:rRNA from 1 species
UACGUAGGGGGCUAGCGUUGUCCGGAAUCAUUGGGCGUAAAGCGCGUGUAGGCGGCCGCGCAGGUCCGUUGUGAAAACUGGAGGCUCAACUUCCAGACGUCGACGGAAACCGUGUGGCUAGAGUCCGGAAGAGGAGAGUGGAAUUCCUGGUGUAGCGGUGAAAUGCGCAGAUAUCAGGAAGAACACCAAUGGCGAAGGCAGCUCUCUGGGACGGUACUGACGCUGAGACGCGAAAGCGUGGGGAGCGAACAGG